UGGGGAAUUUUGGACAAUGGGGGAAACCCUGAUCCAGCCAUCCCGCGUGUGCGAUGAAGGCCUUCGGGUUGUAAAGCACUUUUGGCAGGAAAGAAACGUCGUGGGUUAAUACCCCGCGAAACUGACGGUACCUGCAGAAUAAGCACCGGCUAACUACGUGCCAGCAGCCGCGGUAAUACGUAGGGUGCAAGCGUUAAUCGGAAUUACUGGGCGUAAAGCGUGCGCAGGCGGUUCGGAAAGAAAGAUGUGAAAUCCCAGAGCUUAACUUUGGAACUGCAUUUUUAACUACCGGGCUAGAGUGUGUCAGAGGGAGGUGGAAUUCCGCGUGUAGCAGUGAAAUGCGUAGAUAUGCGGAGGAACACCGAUGGCGAAGGCAGCCUCCUGGGAUAACACUGACGCUCAUGCACGAAAGCGUGGGGAGCAAACAGGAUUAGAUACCCUGGUAGUCCACGCCCUAAACGAUGUUAACUAGCUGUUGGGGUCUUCGGACCUUGGUAGCGCAGCUAACGCGUGAAGUUGACCGCCU
rnacentral:rRNA from 1 species